GGGGAAUUUUCCGCAAUGGGCGAAAGCCUGACGGAGCAAGACCGCGUGAGGGAGGAAGGCUCUUGGGUUGUAAACCUCUUUUCUCAGGGAAGAAAAAAAUGACGGUACCUGAGGAAUAAGCAUCGGCUAACUCCGUGCCAGCAGCCGCGGUAAUACGGAGGAUGCAAGCGUUAUCCGGAAUUAUUGGGCGUAAAGCGUCCGCAGGUGGCACAUCAAGUCUGCUGUCAAAGACCGGGGCUUAACCCUGGAAAGGCAGUGGAAACUGAAGUGCUAGAGUGCAGGAGGGGUAGAGGGAAUUCCCGGUGUAGCGGUGAAAUGCGUAGAUAUCGGGAAGAACAUCGGUGGCGAAGGCGCUCUACUGGACUGCAACUGACACUCACAGGACGAAAGCUAGGGGAGCGAAAGGGAUUAGAUACCCCU
rnacentral:rRNA from 1 species